GUGAAUCAUCGAAUUUUUGAACGCAAAUUGCACUCUCCUCGGAGAGUAUGCCUGUUUGAGUGUCGGCCUAAAAAAAAAUCGACAUCGUUGCUGUUUCGCGGUGACGUUAGUCGGAAAUUAGGUCAUCUUAAACCUUUUGGUUUUUAAGCGACUUAAAAUUUUCUUUUGACCCCAUGAACGUUUCUAAUAUUUAUAUCUUUACACGUUUAAGGGUAUCGAUCUUUAUUAGACGUUGCCGUUGCAUCGGAUCACGUCCAUAAAUAUUUCGUUAACUGACCUCAGACAGGUAAGAACACCCCC
rnacentral:misc_RNA from 1 species